CAAGUAAUGAUAUUGUGGAAUGGGGAAUUGGUCAGGUGAGAUAGAUGAUGUGCAUGAACUGGUGUCCAUCUUUGCCUGCUGGUGUACUCCUGUAAUUUUUGGAGCAUGUGGCUGAGCAGUCGUGGCAGGAACAGAGGACAGGGUGCUGAAGGACUGCUCAGGAGUAGAAGUCCUUUAAUGUUAUAAGCUAUGUACUGAAAUGACAGUGGUUAUCAAAUGUCAUGUCAUGUAUUUAUUUUAAUAAAUAAAUUUAAUCAAUUUCUGUGCUCUAAUGAAGGGGAUAAAAGGCAACACUGGUCCGCCUGGAGCUUGUGGUCGAACAGAGUAUUAUGAGUAUGUAGUUGGUGAUAAGGGAGAUGAAGGACCCCCUGGACCUCCAGGACCAAAAGGUCAACGUGGUAUGCCUGGGCCACAGGGUCCUCCUGGAGGUGCUGGUAGACCAGGUGUGUCAAGACCUGGUCUGAGAGGUCCCCCGGGAUUUCCUGGCCCAAAAGGAAAAAAAGGAGAAAAAGGACAAACAGGCUUGUGCAUUGUAGGCCCUCCAGGACUACCUGGGAUUACUGGCAGACCUGGUUCUGUUGGAUUACCAGGUCCUCCAGGAGAACCAGGUGACAUUUCAUUAUUGUAUAUAUAAUGCACAGCAACAACUCCAGCUUAUCUCAAUUGCUGAUGUAUGAGAUUAUAUAUAUAUAUGAUUUAUGGAGUAUAUCUUGAGUAAAGUGGUUAAAUAGAUUUAUUUUUUUUGUUGAAAUUUCACUUUAGAAUAUUCACAAAAAAUAUGUGUAGCAAUUCUCUGUGCUCCAUUUCUAAU
rnacentral:lncRNA from 1 species